UACUCAUGUUUGAGUUAAUAACCUCGUAAAGAUUUCUACUGUGCUUUUAAACCAUUCUCAACACAAUAUACGGUUAGUAAACUGCAGUUGAAACUUUUGUAACUUGUUCGUGAGUAGCACUCAAACUGUCCACUUUCUUAAAAAAUAUCAAAUUCAAGAAGCAAACUCUUAUGUCCUGCAACACGAUUAAAAUCAACACUUAUUGGAUAUAUUGGGCCACUCAUUAAAUCACACAGUUGCAAAAACGCUAAAGCAACACUCAAAAGGUCAAUUGGUUAGGACACAAAAGGUCAAUUGGUUAGGAUUCGACAACCUCUCUAACCACUCAUCCGGCUUCCGCUGAGUGAAGUGUCAGAAUAAGAUAAUCACACGUUACGCAAAACAAAUCAGUUUGUAGAUCGCGUUAGGGAUCGCGCUGCGAAUUCAGUUGUGUUGAUGCACGCCGUAAUUAACGAUCUACCUUCUGAACCGGUGCGCGGUGACGGUGGCAGCGGCGAUUGCCGAACGGCAAUGAACUUUGCUGGCAUUUCGAGGUCGCUGUAGAAAGCGAUUCCCAGCCACCUGGAGACAAGAUGGGUCCACUCGCGGGUGCGUGCCGAACCGUCAUCAUGUCAGAUCCAAAUCUCCGCCGGCAUGCAGCAUCUGUUCUUCGCCACAAAUAAUAGCUUUUCAGCGCUCUAAAUGGCAAACUAUUUCACAACACAGCAAAGUGAUGAGCAUCAUUUGGGCCGCCUGUAGUGUUGCUACUAGUUAAAGGACGGUCUUUUUCUAAUUGAUGGUCUUCAAACACUUAUAUUAUCAUCCUUUGAGUCGAGAGAUGAGUGGACUUGAAUGGGGGACAGAAGAUUUGCAAUAUUGCGGUCGUUUGGAGGCUCUCGGAAUACCACAACUAUAGAAUAUUUCUCCAAUUUAAUCUGGAUUCCUUGACUCAACUAUAUUAUAUGUUGAGAACUUUUAUCUUUUUCGCUAUCAAUAACAAGACGUCGAUUUGGUACAAAUUGCUAUUUUUUCAUUAUACUGUAUGCAAAUACUUAAUUUUUCAUUAUGUUAUCGUGUGCAUUUGAGUUUUUGGAACAAAGUUAAAAGAGCGCUUAACUAUUUACAGAGUACUGUAAAAUAAACCCAUAU